rnacentral:rRNA from 1 species
CAGCCGCGUCAUUCCAGCUCCAAUAGCGUAUAUUAAAGUUGUUGCAGUUAAAAAGCUCGUAGUUGAACUUCAGGCCUGUCCAGAUGGUCCGCCUUAAUUGGUGUGUACUGUCCUUGGGUGGGUCCUACCUUCUGGCGAAGCGGCAUGGCCUUAGUUGGUUGUGUCGGGGAAGCAGGACUUUUACUGUGAAAAAAUUAGAGUGUUCAAAGCAGGCAUAUAUGCUCGAAUACAUUAGCAUGGAAUAAUGGAAUAGGACGAUGGUUCUAUUUUGUUGGUUCUAGGACCGUUGUAAUGAUUAAUAGGGAUAGUUGGGGGCAUUAGUAUUCAAUUGUCAGAGGUGAAAUUCUUGGAUUUAUUGAAGACUAACUACUGCGAAAGCAUUUGCCAAGGAUGUUUUCAUUAAUCAAGAACGAAAGUUAGGGGAUCGAAGACGAUCAGAUACCGUCGUAGUCUUAACCAUAAACUAUGCCGACUAGGAAUCGGGCGAUGUUGACAAAAUGACUCGCUCGGCACCUCAUG